AUCCUUAUGGAAAUAGACAGUACACGGAUCUGGAAUGGAAGCAAAUAAUAACCGGGUCUCCAGAUUCCAUCGUAUCACAGAACAUAGAACCAAGAAAGUACCUUAGAAGUCAUCUGAUCCAGUCACCCCUGUUUUACCAAUGAGGAAUCUAGACCCAGAAGAAGUUAAAGGACUUACCCAAGAGUACCCAACAACUCUCUCACCACCCCAGGCUCCCAUCUUUGUGUCUCUCCUGUGUGAGCUGUUCCCUGAAGUUCUUCCUGAACUUGCACAUUGCCUUUCCCUUUGAUUUUAAAUCCUUGGCUCAAAUGACAUGCCCGGACUAUAUCGUGUGAUAUGAGCUUGAAAAGUAAUUUACGUACAAGUCUUGAAAGCAAAUCAAGUUUUAAAACAAAGUAGCAUCUACUCUGCCCCAGCCUUGACAUCUUAUUACAUAGCAAAUGCUGGCUUUUUAAUUUCCCUAAUCAAGACUGGUCCUAUUUAGCCCACCUCCUCAAGGGGUCCCAGCACUAGCCCCACUCCGACGCCUGAUGAAGUUCCAGAACAGGUGAGAAAAAUGAGAGGGCCCUGCCCAGGGCUCUGGGAGUCGGCCCUCACUGCCUGCCCUUCAGACAGCAAGACAGAAAAGGCAUUCAUUUUCUUCCUCCACGUCAUGAUACCAACCGAAAUUACCUUUAAAUGAGGAAGAAGGUCAUUAUUUAAUCAAUAGGAUUGCGUCAAUUGAGGAAAAUUUGUCUCCAGUGUAAACAAGCGGAACGUCUUUGCGCUCUAUAAAAACAAGGUUAAAUUACUUGCAGAUCCGGGCAACGUGGAGAGAUGUAGGAAGUGAACCUGAAGCCUGACACACUCAAGGUCUCGGAACCGAAAAUAAUAGGAAUUGUUCUUAUUUUUCCAGUGGAAUCAAGCACAGAGAUGGGCACGCCUCUUUACAGAACCAAAGAUUCAGAACUGUGCCUUACCCUUUGCUUAUGAGGCGGAGGAGGAGGAAGAGAAAGAACCACCGCAAAGAGAGAUGGCAACAAAGUCUGAGGCCCAGGGUCACCACAAACCCGGGAGACAUGAGGCCAGGCCUGAGAGGCACAGGCAGGCUGAGGAAUGGACAGAAGAGCAACAGAGAAGCCUGGAGGAUGAAAGCCAACUCUGCAAAGAGCUUCCAAGAGUCUUCCUGCCACAGAAAUUCCACUUGGCCACAGAAAUGGCCCUGGCCCUGGGCCAGGAGAGAGGUGGCGACGAGCUGCUCAUGGCAAUGACUUUCAGUCAGCAUGUCUUACCUGUGCUUCCAAGGGUGGAGAUGCCACUUUGAGUAGGUCACUGGGUCAGGCAGGUCACAAACCAAGCUCCUCCUACACAGUGAGUUCACGGAGACAGAGAGAAGGAAGGGAAGGAGGUUCUCAGCUCUACUGAUUCCUUAGGUCAAGGAGGGACAGGGUCCCUGUACUUGGGGACCCUCCAGUCUGAUGGGAAGAUACAAGGCAACCCUCUUAGAGCCGUAGAAUGAAUGCCACCUAUAGUUCCUCCCUUCAGGAAGGAAAUCCAGUCUGAUGGAAGAGACACGGCCCCUGUUGUAUCAUUCUUGCCUUCUUACCCAUGUCACACAAGGGAGUGAAGGAGGUGGCAGGCCCAGGGAUAGGUCCAUUUCUGUGGUGAAUGGAGGCUUUCAGAGGACAUUCCCACAGCCCUGCUGUCAAGGGCCCCUUCCCCUUCCUCCCUCCCCGGCACGAUGCCUUACCCACUGGAAUGAAUCCUGAGCUCUGAGCCUAUUCCUAACACAUGAAUGCUGACCCCUUUGUCACGUCCCGCUUUCCCUCCAACUCUGUUUUUUGUUCUUUUUCCCACCCAGACUCGCCCUCCCCCACUUGCCAUUUCCCAAGCUCAUCCCGGGGAGACCAGACUCAAUGGCCCACUGGUGAUCUUGUUUUACAUGAGACAUUUCCAAAAAAGACCAAAAAAUCCUUUCCAGGAAAAUGCCAUUUUUAAAAUUCAGCUCCAGACACUGCGGCAACAUUAGGAAAACAAAGGACUUGGCAGAAAGGUUUUCUGCGUGGGGACUUUCUCUCGAAAAUACCUUCUCCAAAUUGCCUCCAGUGGGGAUGACUCCAAGGGUCAGUUCUGGAGCACCCAGGCAAUUGCAGACAGAGUGACUUCGGGUUUGUACACUGUCCCAGGUCUUUCCUUACCUGAUAUCACCCUGGGAUCUUCCAGGCUUAAACAAGGAGCCCCUUCCAAGGGUCCCCAAAGGAAGCAGCUGUCUCUGAGGGUCAAGAAAUAAUGCUGCUUCCUUCCUCCAGAGGGGACUCCUCAACCCCUCUCUUGCCACCAUCACUAAGCCAGGGGCCCAGGUUAGGAGGUGGAGGGACAUAGUGUGCUUAGUAGAGAGCUUGUCUUCUCUUAUCAUCCAAGUGAGAGGAAUACACAGCUUCCCCUGGGGCAUACAUAGUGGUGUUCCCCUUUUUUGCAUGUAUCAGGUAUAAUUAAUCAGGUUGACAUCACAUAUGUAAUAAUAAUGGCCAUUAUUUAUUAAACACUUCCAAUGUGUCCACGAGUAACCUGUUCUUUAUGUUUGUUUUACCUCAUUUAAUCCUGGUAACGAUUGUCAUGGGCUGAAUUGUAUCUACCCACUCCCCACCACUCAACAAGACUCGUACGUUGAAGUCCUAACCCCCAGUACCUCUGAAUGACUGUGUUUGGAGACACAUCCUUAAAACAGGUAAUUAAGUUAAAGUGAAUCAUAAUUAGGGUGGGCCCUAAUCCAAUAGGAUUGGUGACCUUACAGAAGAGGAAAUGUGAACAUUGUUAGGCACAUGCUGGGAGGCAAGGACAUAGCGAGAAGGCAGCCAUCCGCAAGCCAAGGAGAGGGGCCUCGGAAGAAACCAAACCUACCGGUACCUUGAUACUGGACUUCCGGCCUCCAGAACUAUGAGAAAAUUAAUUUCUGUUGUUUAAGCCAUCCAGUCCAUAGUAUCUUGUUAUGGCAGCCUUAGCAAACUAAUACAACACCCAUACAAUCAAUCUUACCAUCUUACCAUUUUACAGAGGACAAAACAGUCUCGAGAGGGUAUAUAACUUUCCCAGCAAGCAUAUAGCAGAGCUGAAAAUGCAUAAUCAACUGCGUGACUCUGGAACACAAGCUCUUAGAACUGGAUCCUGCUGCUUCUCCUCUGUGCUCUACUAUGCAAGUUCAUGAUCCAUUUACUUAUUGCUACAAAAUAAACCAUCCACAACUUAUUGGCUGAAAACAACAACUUUUAUUUUGCUCAUGAAUCAGCAAUUUAGGCAGGGCUUGUUGAGAACAGCUCAUCCCUGCUCCACUUGGUAUCAGCUGGGACAACUUCAAGGAUGAUCUGACAAUUGAUGCUGGCUGUUAGCUGGGACCUUAGGUGGGGCUGCUGGUCCAAAAUUUCAUGUGGACUCUCUAUGUAGCCUGAGCUUUCUCCUAACAUAACAACUGGUUUCAAAGGCAAGCAUCCCGGGAGACAGAGCCAGGCAGAAGCUUCUCUAAACAGCCGUAGCAGACACACAGCAUCACUUUCGCCACAUUCUCUUCCUUUGAAGCAAGUCACUGAGGCUGGUCCAUGUUCAAGGGGAGAGGAAUUCAAUGCCACCUCUCAGUGGGAGGAACAUCAAGGAAUUUGCAGACAUGUUUCAAAACCAUUACAAUGCAUGUGCCAUUGACAUGCCUGAACAUAUUUUAUGUCAAGUGUUUAUUUACCACCAGCACAGUAUCAUCGAAAGGACAUCAGACUGGAAGUCCAAAGUCCUGAACAAGAGCCUGUCAGCUGUGUGGGGCUGGGAUUUCAACACCCAUCUAUGAAAAAACCAGUACCUGCUUGUCCACUCAGUUCAGCCACCCUCUAUAUGGAAAUGAGGUCACUUAACCCCAUUCCAGUCUCUAAAACCAAUACUAAUCCCAGUCAGCAGGUUAGUUAGAAUGCUGCUCCUGGGGCACUUUAUUUGACUCUCAGUUAUGAUAGCCUGGGUUCUCCCUGUCUCUGUGCCUGAGCCUGUCUUAGAAACGUAGCAGUCUAUGUGUGGAGCACAUCCUCAGGACUAGGCACUGUCACUGGUGCUUUAUGUUUGCUAUCUCAUUCAGCUAUUUCAACCCUAUGAAGGAGGUUUCUUUAUGCCCAUUUUACAAAUGAAGAAACUGAAAUUCAGGGCAGGAGAUGACAAGAGCUUCCUGAGCUUGGAAGCCCCUGGGAAGAGGAAUUUCAAGAAGGAAAAUCAGAAACACCCUGUCUGUGCUACGACUGCCCAGGAUCCUCUGCUGUGGCAACAUAUAUCACUGGCCACCCCACUGUGCCGUGUUCAUCUAGUUGUCCUAUAUAGGUCUGUGGUUUCACAGGCUUCAUCUGAGCCUGCAAGUUCUCAGAAAGUGGGUGAAUGUGGUCAGAGUAUGUUUCAGCCUCCCAGCCUCAAACCCACUCCAGGUUGAGAUGUCAACAAAAACAGCAAGCAGGAUCCUCACAACUAGAUCCACCGAUGCUCACAGCUCCUGAGUCAAUGCUAACCAAGCUGGAGAGUAUGUAAAGUUUGAGCAGAUACAACGGCUUGGAAUAAUGUCACCAGCUCAGUUACAACUACUUGGCUCCUGUGUUCCUCCUGAUUUUCCUUCAAGCCAGAUGAUCAAUGAGGUGACAGGUAUUUCCCCCAGACCACUCUCAUUUCCCUUUUCCAAUCAUACAUGGAUCUGGUGCCCUCAGGGAUGACCUCUAAGAACCCACAUUCCUGCACCACGUUGCCUCUGAGCCUGAGCUCUCCUCUCCCCUCUCCUGGGCCCAUUGUGAUACAAUCAGGCUCUUCUGUCCCUAAUUUUGCCUAGGACCCAGUUCUUCUCUGUAUAAGUCAGACAUUGCUGUGAUAAUACUAUGUAAUAAACCAUCCCAUAAUCUUAGUGGCUUACAAAAACAAACAUUUAUUUUCCUCACUCACAAUCUGUGGGUUGGGUAGAAGGGCUGUGAUUCAGGUGGUGAGUUGGGUACAGAUCAGUUCCAUAUCUCUCUCCUGGAACCAGCAGCUACCUGGGAUAGGCUCUUCUCAUUACAUAUGGAAGCAGCACACAAAGGGGCUAGUGGAAGCCUCCCAUGACUCUUAAGGCCUCAAUUCAGAACUGUCUCGUUGUCACGUCCAUCCAUAUUUCCAUUAGCCAAAGCAAGGUAACUGGCCAAGCCCACAGCUGACAGCAUGGGAAUAUAGGCUCUACCUCCUCUAGUAGGGUGCAUGUAAAGCCAUAUGGCAAAGGGCAUGGGUAUAUAAUUCUAUUGCAGGGAGGGAGUGGAGAAUUGGAAAUAAUCAUUCAGUCUCCAACAUUUCUUAAUCUAGAACUCAGUUACAAGCUCACCUGAGGGAAUAUACAUCUUUUACUUGCCUGCUGGGCCUUCUACCCCUGAUCCCAGCCCACUGGCCUAGGAUGUGACUCUGAGUGAAGAAGUGUCUCACAUGGAGACCCCGCCCACUUGGCUGCCAGUCCUUGGCUGUCACCAGCAUCAUUUACUCUGAUCCACCCACCUGACUGUUCCUCUGGAAUUCUUGAAGAAGCCUACCAGCCUAAUUGGCUCCUCAGCCCUUAUCUAUACUGGCCUCAGGAGGGGCUAGAACCAAGAACUCAAAAACUGGAAAAACAUUGGGGAACCAAGCAGUUUCUCCCACUCUCUCACUCUGCACUUCUGCUUCCUUCUCGCUGUGGGCAUCAGCUUUCUCUGCUCCUCAAUGGAUGGUGGAAUAGGGCCUGCUCUAGGCCUGGAGCCACUUUUGGCACCAUCACCAGGAUAAAGAGAAUUCCAGUGUCCCAUUUCCAGAGUCCCAGAGAAAGACCCCGGUCAACCAUGGCUGGUAUCAUGACAUAGAAACAUGGUUGCCUACCCCUCUAGAUGGAGGAGAAGAGAGGUGUGAGCUGCCAGACAGUAAGAAAAGCAUGGAAACCAGAGGUUUCAGGCUGUAGUCUUCUGAGCUGACUCUGGCCAGAGAUGUGUUUUGUUUGGCCCAAGGGAUUUUUUUAAUGUUUUCAAUUACUUGACAAAAGUUAGAAAUUGAGAGUUCACAUAUGAAUCCAAAUACUUUUUUCUUAAAAAAACUGAAAGGUCUCAAUUGGAAAGGAGUGUGAGGGGCCUUAUGGGUCCUGAUGCUGUUCUGUUCCUCAAUCUAUGAUCUAUUCAUGGAAAAUUUAUCAAGCCAUAUACUUAAAAUAGAUCCACUUUUCUAUUUGUAUAUUACACCUUCUUUAAGUUUUAAGAAUUUAGAAGGUCUAUAAUGAAAUCACAUUCCAGCAAGGAAUAAGUCCUCUGGAGCUGAGUAGUUUUCCAUACCACCAUACCCCUCACUACUCCCCAUUCUCUUCCUAUCACUGAGGCCGAGGGUCAGUAGUCACUCAUCAUCGUCCUAGACUAUGAUUUUCUUAUAACAGAGUUGGGAAGAAAGUAACUUUUAUAUGGACAUUCAUACAUACAUAUCCAUAACUCAAGCAAAAGGACAGACACAAAAGAGCAUCAACGAGAGCUAUGUGUUUGCAUGUUUGCAAAAAAAAAAAAAAAAAAAAAAACGGAAAAUAGCUUUUUAUUUUUGGAGAAGUUAAAAUCAUUCUUCCAAGUUUGACAUGCAAAUGAAAUGUGUCAGUAUCAAAAGAAUUCAAACAAAAAAGCUGUGAGGCUGGUAGGGAAACUUAACGAUCUAAAAGAAAGUACUGAUGUUUUAACAUGUUUUAUUUUUCAAAGCAAAUAAAACAAAUGACACAACUGUGAAAUGAAGUUAUGGAGAAGGAGAAAAUAUUGCUCAUGCAUUGAAACCUUUUAUUAAUGGUGAGUUUACAAAAGAGAAUCUACUGAGGAUAGAGAAAUUCAUACCUUGAACAAAAACAAGUAUUUGCAAAUGGAAGACUAAACAGAAACGCUGGUUGCUCAACAAGAUGACGACAUGGCUGAGAACUUACAGGACAGGUUGUGUGAAAAAGUUAAAUCAUUUGUGGCAUUUCCUAGUGAAGCUUAUGAGAGCCCAGUUAAAAUAAUACCACCCAGUCAGCUAUAUUUAUUUAUGGUUCCAAAGAGACUUCAAUGUGAUUGGAGAACUUUUGGUCAUGGUGUCCAUCACAGGCACAAUUUCAGGAAAUUACUUAGCUUUGUGUGUUGAGAAGCCUUGAAAAACUUAAAGCAGACAGGUCAAAAUUAGUAAGCCUGGCUACAAAACAGAGCUCCUGAAAUGAUCAGCAUUAACACUGACCUUGUUAUGAAUCUUAAAUCUAAGGUGGCCAAUUUUGCACAAUUAGGGAAACUAAAUAAUUCACCAGGAAUUGCCUUGUGCUAAAAAGUUAAAAUAGAACACAUAUCAUGGGCCUAGUGAAUGGGACUUACUCCCAUGGCUAAAAGCAUAAAGAGUUCAGUGCUUUGCCUGAUAAAGUGGAUAUGCAGUAGUCAUAACACUCGUCUGUUCUAAUAAAUAAAGGGUAGUUAGUGUGUAAUGUCGGGGUCUUUCAUGGGUGGGAGGGGAGGAACAGCUGAAAAGUUAUUAACUUGUUCAUAUCAUCCAACAAAAAUACCCCAGCUCACCAGCAAAGAUUGGAUCAAAGUAUAUGCCUUUUCAGUAAAUAUCACAAGCCAUUUAACCCUUUUGGGUAUCUCUUUAAGAAUUAUCACAAAUAUGCAAAUGGCUAUUCAGUUUUCUCAUUCUUAGUGAAAUUAUAUCUUAGGGAAACUCAUUUGGCAAAGAAUCAUCUGGCUUAUUUUCCUAUGCUGAAAUCAGUUUUCCAAAAUGAAAGAGGUCUCUUCAACUGCUCUCUAAAAAUUCUGGAGCUGAAGACAGGAUGAGAUUCCAAAAAAGUUGCUAGUUUUAUGAAAAUGAUCUUUCUCAAUAUUGUGCCACAAAUGCAAUUUUUUGAACUCACCUUUCUCAGUAUUGUAAUAUAAAUGGAAUUUUUUGAACCACAAUUCAUUCCCUAAAACUAAAUUUUGCAACAUUGGAAUGCCAGAAUUCUACAAAUAUCUCAGGAGUGGUUACCCUAAAUAUAAAAACCAUCAUACAAAUAUUCUAUCAAUGCUCAGCCAUGAACAGCUGUUUUCCAUUAUGAAACUAAAUAAAACGAUUGCUCUCAGUUAAAAGAUUCAAGGUUGAAUUCUAUACAGCACAUCACAACAUGAAAUGCAAGACUCAACAUUGACAUGUUGGGGUAAAAGAAAAAGUGUCACAUUUCUGGUUGUAAAGCAAAGAAGUAAUGAGGUAUGAAAGAAAAAAAUUAAUAAUUACAUAUUUCUUUUUUUAAUGUUACAUUUUUCAAUUUCAAACUUAAUAUAUAAUCCCCAAUAUCACACGUUUAUAUUAUAUUAUGUACUUAUGCCCUAGUCAAGUAAAAAUGAAAGUUUGAUUACAUUUCUGGCUGUUGAUUUUUCUUAAACCCAGUCCACUUUACUCAUUUUUGUUGCCAUUCUGAAUUCUGUAAGAAUCUGAGUUUACAACCUCUGGUGUACACUCUACAUGUAUGUUAUUUUCUAGGAAAAAAAUUCUCAUUGAAAAAUAACACAUGCUCAGUUGCUCAAUGAUGAAAACAGAAAAUCUAG
rnacentral:lncRNA from 10 species